ensembl:lncRNA
UGAUAUUGACACAAGAAAAAAUAGAUGGUUUCAUGAAGACAAUUCCUGGUUUAUUUUAUACAAGUUUGUGGUGAAAGAUAUAUGGUGAAAUAUGGUAAAAUACAGCCACUCAUACGUUGGGCAGUGCUGACAAGUUGGCAAUACAGUUACUAGGGGAGUUUGUUUUGGUUUGUUUUUGUUAUCUGUUUGCAAUACCCAACACUAAACAUAUGAAGUUGGCUGCAGUAGUUUCAGCUGUGUUGUAUGACAUACCUCUCAAAACAUAACAAAUGGGGAAGCAGAAAAAAGUAUGUUUCAAGAGGACACACCCUGGGAGAGACCAGGGGUGAUCAUACAAACAGAGAUGGAAUAAUAUUUGAUAGGCUAAACUGUAUAGAUCAGAAUUGUGCAAACAACAGAAUUAGGAAGGUAUGCACAUGCAGGAAGUGUGAUGUGAAGAAUCUUCAUCAAAAGCCUGGACCAUAUAAUGGAAAUUCACUUGAUUCAAUAUUGCACAGUCAACCUGAAUUGCAGCUGAUGAUCGUGAACUGCUUGUUGACAAAAGGAGAAAAAGAAUUUUCCAAAAUAGAAAGAGGCAUGGGAGGAGAAAAGGAAGCCUGCGUGACACCAUGUACUAAUGAGAAAAAGUAAAACGAGAAAUGCUCAAGGAGAAAGAUAGUCAAAGAGAACAUGAAGGAAGAUGGAAUGAACUUAUAUGUCAAGUAGAACAGAAUAUUUUUCAAGGACCAAGUCCAUCUACCUGGACAUGUGAAAGAGGGGAUAAACCUGAGGAAGAACCUGGCUCAAGGGAAGAAUAUUUUAAAGAAGAAAAAGGUCACAGAGUUUGUGAUGGAUGUUGAAAGAAGAGUAAGACAAAUUUACAGUAAAAGAAACAAGUGGGAUUGCCAAAACAAGGGAAUAUCUGAAUAUGUUGGGAUGAGCAACUACAAUACAGAAGAUCAGUUAACCUUUCUUCAGACUUAGAACAGAUUCCACUACAAAGCCUCACACCUGACAUUUAAACUUGUCUGCAUGAAAGUUCUUAUGGUGCAGAUACCAGCUGGAUCCAAUUCUCAUUCAGCUAAUAGCUGGAAUGUGGAGAAGCUUCAACCAAAUCUCAAAAGCAAACAAAAUAAUCUGAAGGAUAAAGAUACGACGAAAGCAGCAAAUUCCUCUGAAAUCUACUGGGCUGAGGAAUGAUGAAACACAAGACAAAGCUCUUAUCUAUCAGGAAGUUUAAAGCACACCACCUUUUCAUAUGGGACCUAACUGAACGUAUAAUUGAAACAGUGAGACCACCUGGAUACACAACGUUGUCAACUAUAAAAAGGCAUACACAUACAACAUAUGGUUGCUGGUAUAAACAGGCCAAGCAACUUUUACAGGCACUUCUUGAGUAGCAAGAAAAAAAAGAUUUUAAAGAAAUCUGCCUGAAGUCUAAGCUGUAGAUGGGAGUACAAUAAAGGACUGUACUUGCUGAAUGUAAGCUGCGUGUCAACUACAUCUGAAAGCAAGAGUGAAGAGCUGGCAGAUGUAGGAGAAAGUUAAACCUGAAGUACAAAGAAAAUUUGACUUAACUGAAAUACAGACUUUAAGGAACGUGCUGCAUGCCUCUUUUGCCAGCAAUGUUGCAUCUUUUCUUGGAAGUGCUAUUCUGAGAUGGGAUUUUCAAAUAAAUACCAGGUGAAAGGAAAAGGCAAUAUAAGAAUUGGAAGCUCACGGCAAAAAUAGAGGGUCCAAAACUCAGCUGUAUUAGUGUUUCCUCUUCUAGGCAAGCGUAUAGCUUUUCUUCAAAAGAUAUCUCAAAGAACACCGUAGUGUGUGACUACCUGAUUAUUACAUCUGCAUUUUGAAAGAAGGAGCUGCAAUACAGAUCCUGUGGGACAAAGUUCCAGCAGGACUUCACACUCUCCAUCCCCAGAAUGCAGUAAAUGAACAGGAGGGUUUGGUCUCCUUCACUACCUGGUUCUGCCAAUAUUAGGAGGUGGCAAGAAGAGACUGUUUCCUCUGCGCUGGGUAAAUCUAUCCCUGGAACAGACAGCUAUGAGAUGCAUGGAUAACAUGGCAUUCAUAGAGGACUGUAAAAGCAGGAAGACAGCUGAAGCCUGAAAGCUAACAAGCAACCUUCCUGGAGAACUUUAUAAGUUCAGCUGGAUGUUCUCAAAUUCUGGACUUAAAAAUUACAUCAGUAAGGAGAGUAUGAAGAGGAAAGCUGGACUGGCUUCACAAUAACCAGAUGCCUCAAAGGAUUCUGCCUACCAUUACUGGAUAGAUAUUAGUACAAGAACUGGAGAAGAAAUCCAUCUCAUACUGGGCCUAAACAAAGAUAAGGAAUAUAGGUACAAAAAAAAAAAAAACCUUAAAAAAAGAAAAAGUCACGCCAAUCUGGUUCUUAUGAAAUUUACAAAAGAAAAUAAAGACAUCUCACCCAGGGUCUGAUCCAAAAUAAAGAAUAGAUUGUUAAUAAAUCAUGUAAAUGUUGAGUAUUAUGAAGCAGAAUGCCUGAUGAAUUUCUAGUAAAGGUUAUGACGGACAGUAGAAUCAGUGGAUCUUGCAAAGAAACAGUAAUUCCUAAGGUGAGCAAGAAGUGUAAAUCCUGGGAGUUAAUCAGUAUCAUCCUCUCUCCUCAUAGUUU